GCCUUCGUGGUGUAAUGGACAGCACACUCGACGCGUAUUCCAAAAGUCCGAGGUUCGAAUCCCGCGAGGGCA
rnacentral:tRNA from 1 species